rnacentral:lncRNA from 1 species
UGCAAUUUUCUAUUGCACUGUAUCUUGGUAUUCUCACCUGUGUGUUUGAAUUGUGUAAAGCUUGCAUAUUCUCGAGGAAGUGGCCGGCUAGGUACUCCACUUUACGUGUGGGAGACCUUCGUGGAGAUGAAUUCCAAAUUACUUCACUUUAAUGUGAAGAUUCAUAUUGAUUGCCUAAUUAAUUUUAAUGUAUUAAUUUUUAAUGUAUUGAUUUUAAUGUGUUGAUUUUAAUAUGGAAAUUCACCAGAAGUACCUAAUGAAUAUUAAA